AACGAUUCGCUUUUAAAUUGUAAAUAAAUUAAAUUGUGUAAGUGUUUACUGUGGAAGCAUUAUAGGGAAACUGAGAGAGAGAUAGAAAAGGAAUGUCAUAAUUAUGACUUAGCUUUACUAUUUAGGGUUGAGUCGGGACUACACAUGCACCCAGCCACCAGCUUCUAAAGUAAGUGCUAAAGUGAUGAGGUGUCGUCUGUGUUUCGGAAGCAGUAAGGACAUUGACAAAGAAAACUACAUGUAUUAUGACUUAUACAUCUCAUGAUUUUUACCUCACAAUUAUAACUUGUAAUUGGUGACACAAAUCAUAUUUAUGAGAUAGGCCUAUGUAUGUAUAAUUAUUACUUAUACAAAGCCGUCAUAAUUAUGAGAUGUAGGCUAGGCCCAAGUCAUAAUAUUAAUAAUUUUCUCCGAAACACACAACUCUCGAGCAGACGACACUUUCUCAGUUUCGCACUUAUUUUGGAAGCCGAUGGCUGUGCGCAUGUGUAGUCCGGCCCUAGAGCUAGCCACUGCACUGCCUUGAACCGGUUCCGAGGUCGGGUUCUACCACCACCACCACGUGAGGCUAUUGGGCUGGUGCCUGGGCGGGCCUGGCGGCCAUUUACAAAUCUUGGUUCUUUGAAGUCGUAUAGUUAUCUAAAUCAAAAUACAUCCACAAAUUCAUCGACGCUAAGUUAGAAAACGGAAGUUAUUUUAAUUGCUGAUACAUAUUGGCUUUUCAUGCCACCAUGGUCACCGAGAUGUUUCCUGAUAAUUCAGUAGAAUCCUUUUCACCUCAUCUCAUGAGGGGGAUUGACAUUAACAGACGGGAGAGAGAAAAUAUGGUUCCUCAUUGGUGUCAACCUCCAUCUGCCUAUACAGCAACAAACAUUCAUCAUUCCAAUCUGGUUCCUCACAACAAAUUAUUGUACAGCUUAGUCAAAGGCAGGCAAACAGCAUGACCUCCCAAGACAGAAGUCAGUCAAUACAAAGAUAAUGCAACUUGGUCUGAAUGGCAAAGCAUCACAUUCUGGGGAGCUGGAAUUACAGAUGGAUACAGUCUACUGAUCAAAGAAAUACCUUGUUGGAAAUGUUAACCAAUCCAAGAAUAUCAGCCCUGCUUCAUAUUGCAAGAGAAAGCUGAUCGCCUGACUAUCGUUGACUCAAAUCAUCUCAAGAGCUGAAACCCACUCAUGAAACCAUGUUGAGCAUUGAUUAACUGGACAUCAAUCUGAUAAUCCAUCCUAGAGAACUCGGCCUUGUCAACACAGUGGUAAGCACCACAUUUGCAGCUUCUGAGGAAUACUUGUCUUGGAGUAAUUGAAGCUAAUUGAAUUUAGGUGACACUAAACCUGUUUGUACUGUUGGAUUCAGAAUUUUUGAACCAUUCUGUUAUAUUUUUUGCCAAAGUUGGGCCUUUUUGAGCCAAGAAUUUGAGCAAAAAAACUGCAAGGGGAUAAACUUGUUCUUUUGAGUGAUUUCGGACCAUUCUGCUUUUGGGCCACAUUUUAAAAAUGGGCCUUUUUGAGCCAAGAUUUUGAGCGAAAAAAACUGCAAGGGCCAAAACUUGUUCUUUCGAGUGAUUUCGGACCAUUCUAUUUUUGGCAAAAAUUUAAAAAAUGGGCCUUUUUGAGCCAAGAUUUUGAGUGAAAAAAACUGCAAGGGGUUAAACUUGUUCUUUUGUGUGAUUUCUGACCAUUCUAUUUUUGGGCCACCUUUUAAAAAUGGGCCUUUUUGAGCCAACAUUUUUAGUGAAAAAAACUGCAAGGGGUUAAACUUGUUCUUCCGUUUGAGUAAUUUCGGACCAUUCUAUUUUUGGCCCAAAUUUUUAAAAUGGGCCUUUUUGUGCCAAGAUUUUGAGCAAAAAAAACUGCAAGGGGUUUAACUUGUUCUUUCGAGUGAUUUAGGACCAUUCUAUUUUUGGCCCAAAUUUUAAAAACGGGCCUUUUUGAGCCAAGAUUUUGUGAGAAAAAAACUGCAAGGGGUUAAACUUGUUCUUUUGAGUGAUUUCAGACCAUUCUUUUUUUGGCCCAAAUUUUAAAAAUGGGCCUUUUUGAGCCAAGAUUUGAGUGAAAAAAGAUGCAAGGGGUUUAACUUGUUCUUUCGAGUGGUUUCGGACCAUUCUAUUUUUGGCCCAUAUUUUAAAAAUGGGCCUUUUUGUGCCAAGAUUUUGCGCGAAAAAAACUGCAAGGGGUUAAACUUGUUCUUUCGAGUGACUUCGGACCAUUCUAUUUUUGGCCCAAAUUUUAAAAAUGGGCCUUUUUGAGCCAAGAUUUUGAGUGAAAAAAAAUGCAAGGGGUUUAACUUGUUCUUUCGAGUGGUUUCGGACCAUUCUAUUUUGGGGUCAAAUUUGAAAAAAGGGGCCUUUUUGAGCCAACAUUUGUAGUGAAAAAAACUGCAACUUGUUCUUCCGUUUGAGUGAUUUCGGACCAUUCUAUUUUUGGCCCAAAUUCUUAAAAUGGGCCUUUUUGUGCCAAGAGUUUGAGCGAAAAAAAAUGCAAGGGGUUAAACU